rnacentral:rRNA from 1 species
AGAGUUUGAUCCUGGCUCAGAACGAACGCUGGCGGCGUGGAUAAGACAUGCAAGACGAACGAGAGAAUUGCUAGCUUGCUAAUAAUUCUCUAGUGGCGCACGGGUAAGUAACACGUGAGUAACCUGCCCCCGAGAGCGGGAUAGCCCUGGGAAACUGGGAUUAAUACCGCAUAGUAUCGAAAGAUUAAAGCAGCAAUGCGCUUGGGGAUGGGCUCGCGGCCUAUUAGUUAGUUGGUGAGGUAACGGCUCACCAAGGCGAUGACGGGUAGCCGGUCUGAGAGGAUGUCCGGCCACACUGGAACUGAGACACGGUCCAGACACCUACGGGUGGCAGCAGUCGAGAAUCAUUCACAAUGGGGGAAACCCUGAUGGUGUGACGCCGCGUGGGGGAAUGAAGGUCUUCGGAUUGUAAACCCCUGUCAUGUGGGAGCAAAUUAAAAAGAUAGUACCACAAGAGGAAGAGACGGCUAACUCUGUGCCAGCAGCCGCGGUAAUACAGAGGUCUCAAGCGUUGUUCGGAAUCACUGGGCGUAAAGCGUGCGUAGGCUGUUUCGUAAGUCGUGUGUGAAAGGCGCGGGCUCAACCCGCGGACGGCACAUGAUACUGCGAGACUAGAGUAAUGGAGGGGGAACCGGAAUUCUCGGUGUAGCAGUGAAAUGCGUAGAUAUCGAGAGGAACACUCGUGGCGAAGGCGGGUUCCUGGACAUUAACUGACGCUGAGGCACGAAGGCCAGGGGAGCGAAAGGGAUUAGAUACCCCUGUAGUCCUGGCAGUAAACGGUGCACAAUAUGGUGUGCGGGGAAUCGACCCCCUGCGGGCCGGAGCUGACGCGUUAAGCGUGCCGCCUGGGGAGUUCGGUCGCAAGAUUAAAACUCAAAGAAAUUGAUGGGGACCCGCCCAAGCGGUGGAGUAUUUGUCUUAAUUCGAUGCAACGCGAAGAACCUUACCUGGGGCUUGACAUGUAGUGAACAACAUGUGAAAGCAUGCGACUCUUCGGAGGCGUUACACAGGUGCUGCAUGGCCGUCGUCAGCUCGUGUCGUGAGAUGUUUGGUUAAGUCCAGCAACGAGCGCAACCCCUGUUGCCAGUUACCAGCACGUGAAGGUGGGGACUCUGGCGAGACUGCCCAGAUCAACUGGGAGGAAGGUGGGGACGACGUCAGGUCAGUAUGGCCCUUAUGCCCAGGGCUGCACACGUACUACAAUGCCCAGUACAGAGGGGGCCGAAGCCGCGAGGCGGAGGAAAUCCUGAAAACUGGGCCCAGUUCGGACUGUAGGCUGCAACCCGCCUACACGAAGCCGGAAUCGCUAGUAAUGGCGCAUCAGCUACGGCGCCGUGAAUACGUUCCCGGGUCUUGUACA